UAGCAUGCUUUCAAAUGUUUAGAUAAACCUAAUUUUUAGUUAUGUGUUUUUAAAUCAGUCUUGUCUUUUUGUCAGGUGUGUGUUUUCUUUAUUCUGGAUGUGGAAUUUGGUAUCCUACCCAUAACCCCCUUAAUAAGAUGACUUUGAGAAUGAGAGCAUGGCGAAAACGCAAAAGGGACCUCGAUCUACUUCUUAGUUAUUCUGAUGGCGAGGAUGAACAUCGAGACUUUGAAAAUAUUUGCCACAGUGUCCCUGGGAGUCAGAGUAGUAGUUGUAGUAGUAGCAACGUGUCUGAGACCACACAUAGCUUUAUCGGUGACACUGUUAUUGGUACUUUAGAUAGUUUUGACACUGGUGUGGACUAUUGGUCCACUGAUUCAGAAGAGGAAGCGAAUGACAAUAUUGGGGUGGCCAGCUUUGAAGAUGACCUGAGACAGUGGGCCUUAGAGCACAAAAUAACACACAGAGCGCUUAAUGGUUUAUUGCCCAUAUUAAGAAAGCAAGGGCACAUAUUGCCCGUGGACUGCCGGACACUCCUUACUACACCACAAAUUAACUUCACUAGAAGUUAAUUUGAAAAGGGCAUCUGUCGUUAUUUAAGUCAAAUAAAGAGCAAUGAUGUGCACCUAAGUGUGAACAUUGAUGGUGUCCCACUUUUCAAGAGUAGUGGUGUCCAAAUCUGGCCAAUACUGGUGAAGUGUGGCCAUUGGGAUCCAUUUAUUGUUGCUAUGUUUAGUGGGAAAAGUAAACCAAAUCCUCUUGAGGAGUAUCUCCAUGACUUUGUGACCGAGUACAAACAUCUGAAAGAGAAUGGCAUAGUUUAAGAAGGUCAGACUUACACUGUGAAUAUUGAUGCUUUGAUCUGUGAUGCGCCAGCAAGAGCAUAUCUAAAAUGUAUUAAGGGUCAUACUUCCUAUGAAAGCUGUGAAAGAUGUUUAAUUAGAGGUGCUCGUGUUGAGGGAAGAAUAGUUUUCAGUGAGCAGGAGUGCACUUCACGAACAGAUGACAAUUUCUCCAAAGUGGAGUACAGGAACCACCAAAUUCAUGUCAGCCCCUUCAUUGCUGCAGGAAUUCCUUGUAUUAGCUCGUUUACAUUAGAUUAUAUGCAUAUGGUGUGCUUAGGAGUAGUUAGACGCCUGUUGUUUUUCCUGACUCGCGGCCCAAAAAUCUGUCACUUAUCUGUGAGGCAAAAGGAUACAAUUUCCAAAAAUCUAAUUGCACUGAGAGGGAAGAUGCCGAGCGAAUUUUCACGGGGUUUGCAGGAAAUGGAUAGGUGGAAAGCCACUGAGCUGCGGCAGUUUUUGCUAUACACAGGACCAGUGGUAUUAAAAAGUGUUAUCCCCUGAGUGAUACAAACAUUUCUUGCCCUUGACAGUAGCCAUGUCAAUAACGCUGGAGUCGGAUGAUAGGAUUCGAAAUGCCUAUCUCCAAUAUGCUCAGGACUUAAACACUUUGUCAUGUGCUGUGCUGACCAGUAUGGUAAAACCUUUCCUGUAUACAAUGUACAUGGACUAAUUCAUCUCCAUGAAGAUGUCAGGCACUUUAACUGCUCCUUGAAUGAUAUUUCCUGUUUUCCAUUUGAAAACUACCUGCAACAAAUCAAGAAACACGUCAGAAGCGGGAGAAGUCCCCUUGAACAAGUAACCAGGCGUUUGUCAGAAAUUGAACACACAGAAGUGUACCAGGCCAAAAUUCGCCCAGAAGUGUUUGUUUCUCUUAAAAAAAGAGACAGUUGUUUUCUCUUGAGAGAUGACAGAUUUGCUUUUGUCCGUCACAAAAAUGCUGACGGUACCUUUGCUUGCGAUAUUUUGCACCAGCGUCACACUUUAGCAUUAUUUCACCAACCAUGUAGCUCUGGACUUCUAAAUAUAGUGUGCAUAGGAAAUGGUCAGGUCAGGAUGAAAAAUUAACUACUGCAUGAAAGGGAUCUUUUCCGCAAGGUGGCCUGCCUCCCACAAGAAACAGGUGGUUCUGUCCUCAUGCCCCUUCGCCAUGGUCUGGAACAUAAAUAAAGGUUGGAUUUUCUUACUCUUUUAAUUAGAUCCUUGCAGUACCCUUUACCACCUGUAGGGUUUCUGCAUCUUUCACAUCACAGUGUGUCAUAUCACCUGCAUAUCCCUUCUCAAUGCUUACAUGAAACUCCACUGGCCUCUCCCUCUCUUAUCUUAAUACAGUACACUUCUUCCAAUGAAACCCUCACUCCCUUUUGCACAUAUCCAAACCUGCUCAUUCUAAAACCACUUGCUUUAUUCCCCCAAUUUAACCUGAGGUGACCUGCUAAUGUAGUCAAUAGUGAUGUUGUCAUUUCUAAUUAGAAUUGUCACAAUCAUUUCUGCCAACUACAACUACUUUCCUCUUCUAACAUGUCAAUUGGUGAUUUGUUGAUAAUGGUUUGUCAUUUUCUAUGCCAUUGCACAUUAGUAUAUGGCUGUCUGUUUAAGCAGUUGUCGUAAAGAAACAUGUAUGUGCUGUCCUUUCCAGAUCAUUUACACAAGGGCUGUUUGGAAGGAGGGUGAACAAGAGGAGGAGGGUGUAGUACCUGACAACUGGAUCGACAGAAACAAGAGAACUGUUAGGUGGCCACACAGCAUGAGCAUCACAAAAACCGAAAGAGCAUUAAAGGAAACAAUUAACCCGAAGAUGACUGGAUGACGUUUCCAUUGAUCAAGAUAAAAAUUACUUCAGUCAAGUUUUGUUUUAAAAAUUAAAUUGAUAUCCAACUCAAAACAUUGUUGAAAUGUUGUUUUUAAAACUGAAUCAUCUAAAAUUUUAGCCAAGCGUCGUGAAUGCGAGACCUACAACCUGACCAGUCAGGUGGAGGACGAUGAGGAGGACCAGGACUUGGCGAUUAGAUCUAAAAGGAGCCGCGCUAAAAAAGGAACGCCAGAGGGUUUUGUUAGAAGCGAAUUAACAUCUUCGGAUGAAGAUGAGCAUCAGGGCGUCAAGCUGCCCAACUACCGCUUCGCACCAAAGAAACUCCAAUCCAUUCACAACACUGACAUAUUAAGCAAUGUUUAUGCUGCAAAUUGCCAGAAUCGGAGGAAAAACACUAAGGACUGUGUCCACAAAGUUCUUGAUAGGCUCUUCACCCAAUGCACUGAUGGCUAAAUUCAAUAUAAAGGGGAAGGGGAAAAAGGCAAGAGAUCUUUGGAGAAGACGAAGGUUUAUGGAGCAAUAAAAGAUGGAAUCAUGAAUGGUGAUGAAGCAGCCACAGAAGACAUCAUAAGGAUCCAUGCAGCAGAGCAUCUCAAACAUGCACCGCAGAAAAGUGGAGGACACAAAGCCAUCACUCAGGACUGAUUAGGGCUGUGGAAUUUUAUAUUUUUAUUUGGAUAUACUUUUUUGGUUGUAAAAACGGUGUUAAUAUAACUUAUUCAUCUGUGAGUCCAAUUUUUAAAAAGUUGCAAAGGGAUGUUCUUUUUUAUAUUUGAUGUGUGGUACAGACCCGUGUGUGUAAAUAUUUUUGUUGUGCAGCCAAUAGGCUACCUGUUAUAUCAAUAACAAAAAUAAAGAUUAUAACUUUAAA